UACGAAGGGGGCUAGCGUUGUUCGGAAUCACUGGGCGUAAAGCGCACGUAGGCGGAUCUUUAAGUCAGGGGUGAAAUCCCGAGGCUCAACCUCGGAACUGCCUUUGAUACUGGAGAUCUCGAGUCCGGGAGAGGUGAGUGGAACUGCGAGUGUAGAGGUGAAAUUCGUAGAUAUUCGCAAGAACACCAGUGGCGAAGGCGGACUCACUGGCCCGGUACUGACGCUGAGGUGCGAAAGCGUGGGGAGCAACAGG
rnacentral:rRNA from 1 species